AUGGAUUCUCGGGCUCUCUGCACCGUGGCCCUGAUCAUUUUAUUCCUGCCGUUGUGCGGCUCGGACGACCGGCUUGUCCCUGGCAAGUCGCUGUAUCCCGGCAACACCAUCAUCUCCGAUGGUGGCACGUUCUCCUUGGGCUUCUUCAACCCCUCCAACUCCACUCCAGCCAAGCUGUACCUUGGUAUAUGGUACAACAACAUCUCUGAGUUCACAGUUGUGUGGGUUGCGAACCGUGAAACCCCAGUCACCAACAUCACUUCCUUUGCACCCAUGCUCUCCCUCACCAACACCUCCAAUCUCAUUAUCUCCGAAGCUAACAAUAGUGUCCGUAUCCUUUGGACGAGGGCCAACGUGACAACUAUUUCCCCGGGCUCAUCUACCCCGACGGCGGUGCUUCUGAACACCGGCAACCUCAUCAUUCGCUUGUCAAACGGCACCACAGUGUGGCAGAGCUUCGACCACCGCACAGACACGCUCCUCCCGGGGAUGAAGAUGCGGAUCAAAUACAGCACAAACGGUACUGGGGAUCGUCUGGUUUCCUGGAAGGGCCCCAACGAUCCCUCUCCAGGGCGCUUCUCCUACGGUGGCGACCCAGACACACCCCUCCAAGUAUUCCUGUGGGACGGGGAGAGCUUGGUGACCCGUGGCAAUCCCUGGACGGGGAUCCAAGUGACUAGCGUCAGCCAAAAACAGCUAGCAGGGACAAUGAGUUUUAGUGAUCUUAUCAUGUACAUCGCCGUGGUCGACAACGGUGAUGAGAUCUAUGGCACAUAUAGCCUCUCUGAGGGCGCCCCACUCACAAGGUCAGUGCUGACCUACUCAGGUGAGUAUUACCUCAAGAGCUGGAGUAGCAACUUGUCGGCGUGGGUUGUCCUUAUGAAGUGGCCAGCUGUUGAAUGCAACCUCCAUGGUUACUGUGGCCCGUAUGGCUACUGCGAUGAGACGGCGGCACCAGUCCCAAUGUGCAAGUGUCUUGAUGGCUUCGAGCCAACAAACAAAGAGGAGUGGACUAGCGGCAGGUUCUUGGCAGGAUGCCAGCGGAAGGAGCAGCUGCACGGGUGUGAU
rnacentral:rRNA from 1 species